GUGAAACACCCGUUCCUGUAGGAUCACCGAAGUUAGGCAACGUCGAGCCUGGUCAGUACCUAUAUGGGUGACCGCUUGAGAAUGCCAGGUGCUGUAAA